CAGUUUGUACAAACUAACAAAAGUCAAUUUUUAAAGUAUGUUUAUAAUUACAUUAAAAAAGGAAAUGCCUUAAAAUGUAUGCCUUAAAUAAUAAUUAAAUAUGGAGUCGAAAAAAAUUAUGCAAUCCUGACUAUGACAAAAUUAACCAAAUAGAAGGAUGUGUAAAAUUUUAUGGAAAAUAUUUUAAAGAAGACAUGUCAAAAUCAAUUUUAGUUUAUCAUGAUCAGCCGGAAAAUCCUGAACAAUUGUCUCAAUAUAUUUCAAUCUUGGUGACUUCUAAGGACGAAACUAAAUAUUACAAAGUCUUUAUGGAAAAGCAAAAGAUCUAUGAGGACACAUCAGUUAUUGAAAGCCUAUUAGUGUGUUUUGGACUUUAUUUUGUAAUGAAUCUGAUUUUUCCCAAAACAGCAGCUAUAACUCUGGAGAUGUUACAAAGGUUUCAUUUAAAAAUUCAUCCUGAUUCGGGCACAAAAGCUAAAUCAACUUCAAAAGGGAAAGUUCUUACUUUGAUGAAAAAUCUUACCAAAGCAUUUUCAUAAAUUUGUUUAAAUUAUUCUAUUUACUGUUUUUUUUUUGUUCUGGGUUAGUGUCUAGAAUGACUGUAUUUUUGUUGUUUAUCUUAUUUUUACUUUAUGACUGCUAAAUAAUAAGCAGAUGAAACUGGUUUUAGUUUGACCAUUUUUAAUACCAUACCUACUAUAGAAACAUAAUACCUAAAUUUAUCUACCAUUUUCCUAAUUUAAUAUACUUGUUAUUUUAGA